AGCCGUGUUGGUACCACACUAAACCCAUCCCAAGAACUUGCUACACAGGAUCAAAUAGAAAAAAAAAACUUGCUGCACAGAAACAGUACGAUGAGGUCAUGAGAGAAAAGGCUAAAAAUACAUUUAGCCCCGAAACAAUCUUCCAUCGCAGCAACAUCCAAGGCCCAUUACCUAUCCAUCCCCCACUGCUAUAUACCAUCCCCAGUGGCCAAUGGACUCGUAACUACGAGAGUAAAUCCCAACCAUCGCCAGGAAACAAGAAAAGAGACAUCUGAAAGAAAUUUGAGAUUGAGAGAUGCACAUUGAUAUAAGUGAAGAGAAGAGUUGACAUAGAAAACCACCAAAACUCGGAUAGGAAAACAGAACCACCGAGAUGACGCUAAAUCACAAAAGCAGAUUUGUCUGGCAAAGGAGCAACUGAGAAGAGGCAGGCCAACCAGACAGACUUGAACAAAAAAAAAUCCUCUGAUGGCCCAAGCUGUUUCUCUA